GUUUACGUAGCAAAAUCUGGCCAAUGCAAAAGAUCUAAGCCCUUUUUAUGGAAGUUCAAAUCUUCUCGUAAACU
rnacentral:tRNA from 10 species